UACAGAGGGGGCAAGCGUUGUUCGGAAUUACUGGGCGUAAAGGGCGCGUAGGCGGCCUUCUAAGUCGAACGUGAAAUCCCCGGGCUCAACCCGGGAACUGCGUCCGAUACUGGAAGGCUUGAAUCCGGGAGAGGGAUGUGGAAUUCCAGGUGUAGCGGUGAAAUGCGUAGAUAUCUGGAGGAACACCGGUGGCGAAGGCGACAUCCUGGGAAGAUACUGACGCUGAGGUGCGAAAGCGUGGGGAGCGAACAGG
rnacentral:rRNA from 1 species